UGACACCCAAGCAGAAGGGAGCUCCUUGUUACUACUGAGUGAAGUUUGGGACUCAGACCGGCUCUCCUUGUUUCUCAGCUUACAGCCAGCCUGUUGUGGAACCUUGUGAUUGUUCUGCACCAAUGGCCUCAUGGGAAGUUAUCUAUGAUCAGUUGACAGAGGAAGAGAAGACUAGCCUGGUUCACAGAUGGUUCUGCAGGAUAUGGAGACACCACUCGAAAGUGGACAGCUGCAGCACUACAGCCCCUUUCUAGGAUGUCUCUGAAGGACAGUGGUGAAGGGAAAUCUUCCCAGUGGGCAGAACUUCAAGAAGUGCACCUGGUAAUGCACUUUGCGUAGAAAGAGAAAUGGCCAAAUGUGCCUACAUCUUUCUCCCGUGCUGG